rnacentral:misc_RNA from 1 species
AACUUUUAACAACGGAUCUCUUGGCUCUCGCAUCGAUGAAGAACGCAGCGAAAUGCGAUAAGUAAUGUGAAUUGCAGAAUUCAGUGAAUCAUCGAGUUUUUGAACGCGCCUUGCGCUCCCUGGUAUUCCGGGGAGCACGCCUGUUCGAGUGUCGUGAAAUUCUCAAACUGAGAUGCUUUUUUGUUUCUCGGCUUGGUGUUGGGCUUUGCAGUUCCCUUUGAUUGGGAUGGCCGGCCUCAAAAGCAUUAGCUGGCUUUUCAUGUGGCAUUGGUUCUAUUCGGCGUGAUAAUGAUCUGACCGCCGAGGACAUCUUUCGAGAUCGCCAAUUCUCAUUUGGGCUGCUUCUUAUCUUGGUCGAGCAGAUUCUGAAUCUGUUCCACUUUUCUACUUUUGACCUCGAAUCAGGUGGGACUACCCGCUGAACUUAAGCAUAUCAAUAAGCGGAGGCU